AUACGUAGGUGGCAAGCGUUGUCCGGAAUUAUUGGGCGUAAAGCGCGCGCAGGUGGUUUCUUAAGUCUGAUGUGAAAGCCCACGGCUCAACCGUGGAGGGUCAUUGGAAACUGGGAGACUUGAGUGCAGAAGAGGAUAGUGGAAUUCCAAGUGUAGCAGUGAAAUGCGUAGAGAUUUGGAGGAACACCAGUGGCGAAGGCGACUAUCUGGUCUGUAACUGACACUGAGGCGCGAAAGCGUGGGGAGCAAACAGGAUUAGAUACCCUGGUAGUCCACGCCGUAAACGAUGAGUGCUAAGUGUUAGGGGGUUUCCGCCCCUUAGUGCUGCAGCUAACGCAUUAAGCACUCCGCCUGGGGAGUACGGUCGCAAGACUGAAACUCAAAUGAAUUGACGGGG
rnacentral:rRNA from 1 species